GGGGUUGCGGACCAUGUCGUAAUCGAUUGGUGGCUACUUUGUGCGGCCAACUGUCGUGAAGGCAUUCCUUUCACUUGUUCGCUCGUAAUAUUUUGGAGAUCGAUUGUGGCCACGUAAUAGUUGCUUGUUAUGGGAAUCCUUUCGUGGGUGGUAUCAAAUUCAGUUGAUGACUCGUGGUUUAGCCUUUAUGCCAGUCUUAAGGCAUGGAGAUUGCUCUAUGGAAUGAGACCCUUCCACCCUUGGCUUCGGGAGCUGUCAUAAGACAUUCUCGUUUCUUAGGUGGUGGAAUGAGGGCCUCAUGAUAUUGUUGCAAAUGUGGCUCUUUGAAAUUGGGUAUAGGUGUCCUGGCGCCUUGCUCGAGUUGUGAUUUAUCCAAGCGAUAUUUCCUUCAACUUCUGUGCGACUUUGGCUUUUCCCCUCCCGCCAUAUGAAAUGUAUGACUGCGGUGGGGUGAGAUCAUGGUUGUGUUGAGGACGUGCUACCUGGUUGAUCCUGCCAGUAGUC
rnacentral:misc_RNA from 1 species